rnacentral:sRNA from 1 species
CUCGGAGAGCCUUUUGCUAGCCCCACGGGGACCUCUGUGCACGGAUGGACCCGCCCGGACCUGGCGGGAAGCGGCCUGGCAGGCGGCGGCCCCGGCGGCAUCAGCAGAGACAGGACGGGGCCGACGCCGCGGGCCCCUGAGGCGUGCGUGCCCACCGGGCCCGGCGGCGGCACCAUGAUGCCGGGCGAGACCCAUUCGGCGGCGCCCGGGACGGCGGCGGACCUGUCGCGAUGUCAGGGCUGCGCCUCUCUGCAGCAGAAUUUGAAUGAAUAUGUUGAAGCAUUAAUUACCUUGAAACAAAAAAUUAUCAAUACAGAUAAUUUGUUAACAGAAUAUCAGAAGAAAUGUGAUGAUAUCCUUUUACUGGCUUUUUCUGUUGAGUUUUGGAACUAACUUAUGUUUAAUUCCUGAAAGAGAUGUGAGAAUUGUUCCUCAUAGGCCUUUUGGAAGAUAGUACUUAACAGGCUUCAGUAGGGAGCAUGUCUCACAAGCACAGUAAACAGACAGUCCUUUUAUUCUUAAUCCAUGUUUAAUGAUGAGUUUUAAAAAUGAGAUUACUUUUCUUGUUGAUUGUGAUUUUCUUAACGUCUCAUAAGCUUUUUAGUGGGUGGGUUUCUCUUAAUUUGUACUGAGGAUGUGGCAUGUUUUUUAGGUUUACGAAUAAUGUGAAACUGAAUGUGAUACUUGCUGAAUGUUAUUUUUGAAUCUGCAAGAAGUACAGUAUGGGAAAUUCAAAAUGUUGGGCAAUUGACUUUCAUUAAUUAUUUUUGUGAUUUACAGGGAAAUGUGUGUGUAUAUAUAUAUCUCCAAAAUCAUAGAAAUAGUGUUGCUGUAUAUUCAUGAAUGCUGUUGGGCAGUCAGAAGACAAUUCUUGGCCUUACAGUCACCAUUUGUUCGAUAGCCAUUUAAUGAGCUCGGUUGUGGAGUUAGUAUCUGGUCGGCUAUUUUUUUAGCAGUGGGAAAAAGAUGUGUGUAAUUGAUCCUUCCAUGUCUUGCUGUGGUAAUACCUUGAUUUAAAUCUCUCCUGUAAAAACUUAAAGUUUCUCUCAUAAAAGUAAACAUACGUACUCCUU